CUACGGGGGGCAGCAGUAAGGAAUAUUGCGCAAUGGAGGCAACUCUGACGCAGCCAUGCCGCGUGCAGGAAGAAGGCCUUAUGGGUCAUAAACUGCUUUUAUUUAGGAAUAAACCCCCGAACGUGUUCGGGGCUGAAGGUACUAAACGAAUAAGCACCGGCUAACUCCGUGCCAGCAGCCGCGGUAAUACGGAGGGUGCAAGCGUUAUCCGGAUUUAUUGGGUUUAAAGGGUGCGCAGGCGGGCUAUUAAGUCAGUGGUAAAAUCCCGGGGCUCAACUCCGGAACUGCCAUUGAUACUGAUAGUCUUGAGUUUGGUUGAAGUGGGCGGAAUGUAGCAUGUAGCGGUGAAAUGCAUAGAUAUGCUACAGAACACCAAUCGCGAAGGCAGCUCACUAAGCCAAAACUGACGCUCAUGCACGAAAGCGUGGGGAUCAAACAGGAUUAGCUACCCGUGUAGUC
rnacentral:rRNA from 1 species